GAACCAGACUCCUACGGGAGGCAGCAGUGGGGAAUAUUGGGCAAUGGGCGCAAGCCUGACCCAGCAACGCCGCGUGAAGGAAGAAGGCUUUCGGGUCGUAAACUUCUUUUGUCAGGGACGAAGCAAGUGACGGUACCUGACGAAUAAGCCACGGCUAACUCCGUGCCAGCAGCCGCGGUAAUACGGAGGAUGCGAGCGUUAUCCGGAUUUAUUGGGUUUAAAGGGUGCGUAGGCGGAUCGUUAAGUCAGUGGUAAAAUGGGGGGGCUCAACCCCGCCCCGCCAUUGAAACUGGCGCUCUUGAGUGGAAGAGAAGUAUGCGGAAUGCGUGGUGUAGCGGUGAAAUGCAUAGAUAUCACGCAGAACCCCGAUUGCGAAGGCAGCAUGCCGGCUUCCGACUGACGCUGAAGCACGAAAGCGUGGGGAUCGAACAGGAUUAGAUACCCUCGUAGG
rnacentral:rRNA from 1 species